rnacentral:rRNA from 1 species
GUCCACGCCGUAAACGAUGGGUGCUAGGUGUGGGCGGUGUCGACUCCGUCCGUGCCGAAGCUAACGCAUUAAGCACCCCGCCUGGGGGAGUACGGCCGCAAGGCUAAAACUCAAAGGAAUUGACGGGGCCCGCACAAGCAGCGGAGCAUGUGGUUUAAUUCGACGCGACGCGAAGAACCUUACCAAGGCUUGACAUGCAUUGGAAUGUCGUAGAAAUACGGCAGCCCUUCGGGGCCGAUGCACAGGUGGUGCAUGGCUGUCGU